UUAAUUCUUACCGUUCAUCGCUAUCUACGAAUACAGUGCAAACUCUACUUUGUGGAGGUGAUUGACUUCGACAUAUAAAUGGAAUGAAAAAGAAGACUAAAAAAGAGAAGACAUAUCAAGAAAUUUUGUUGCCGGUAUCUACAUCUUAAAGUAGUUGUACGUGUGCUAUGAUUGAAGAACAUGAGUUAAAAAGAUUAAUAUAUUGA